GCAGCUUUCUCAGCAGCUCUGCCUUGCCAUGACUUCACAACAAGGUGACUAAGAAGCAGAUGGGCUAUGAAGCAGACAAACCCCCUUGUCUACACAUAAAUCGCAUUGGUAAUUAAUUAGCAGAAGCAGCAGGGGAAAUUAUGGAAAUGUGUAAAAGUGCAGGAGAAUUCUCCAAGAGUCACUUGGGAGACUUAGGCCACCAAUAGAAAGAUAACAACUGCACGGUGAAGUGUUAAUGACGAAUGGUACCCUGACUUAUUAAUGCAAUUUCCAGCAAAGCCUUCCUCAGUAUGAGGAUUAUGGAUCGCAAACAAGCAAAAUUUGGCUGCAUAACGUCUGCUCAUGCUACAUAAUUUUAACACUUGAUCUUAAAAAGCUGCGAGUACAUUUGGCUUCAUGUUUGGCUUCAUCUGGUGUAUUAGUUUUCUCUCAUUGCUGAAACAAUCGCAAUAAACAGUGACUUAGAGCGAUA